rnacentral:tRNA from 9 species
GUGGGUAUAGUCAAGUGGUUAAGACAGCGGGUUGUGGCUCCGUUAUGCGUGGGUUCGAAUCCCACUAUCCACCCCA